UACGUAGGGUCCGAGCGUUGUCCGGAAUUACUGGGCGUAAAGCGCGCGCAGGCGGCCCGCGAGGUGUCACGUGAAAGCCCCGGGCUCAACCCGGGAGGGUCGUGGCAAACCGGCGGGCUUGAGGCCGGUAGAGGUGGGUGGAACUCCUGGUGGAGUGGUGAAAUGCGUAGAGAUCAGGAAGAACACCCGUGGCGAAGGCGGCCCACUGGGCCGGUACUGACGCUGAGGCGCGAAGGCGUGGGAAGCGAACGGG
rnacentral:rRNA from 1 species